AUGAGGCCUUCAAUGCUUGUCACUGACCUGGGUCACUACUGCGUCACAGUGUUAAGCUGGACAUUUUUCUGGCUCAAGCCAUGCCUUUUACAGUGGAGGGAGCACUCGGGAUCCCAGAGGUUUUAGGUCAAGAAGACUCUCAGAUGUCAUGGAUUUGGAGUCGCGCUGCAGAGGGAAGUUCUGCCAUUGAAAAAAGAGCUGCAUCUCAGAUCCCCUCAGAAGAGAUGGAUUUUCUUCCAGGGAGGGUUCCCCCCUGUCAUGCCAUCCAUGGCAGCAUCCCUAACCUCUCUUUGGGAGGCCUAAGGAGCACCCACUCAGGAUUCUUUCUGGAAACAACCUGGGGGACUUUGAUGAGAGGCCCAAGCCUUCCAGCUACCUCACAGUCACCUAAUGUCUUCCCAAUGGGGUAGAGGCUUCUGAAUCGGACAUCAGAACAGACGCCUGAGGCUUCCUGCCAUGAAAGCUGGUCUUCCUGGAAAGACUGAUGGAGUUUUGCUCUUGUUGCCCAAGCUGGAGUGCAAUGGUGUGAUCUUGGCUCACUGCAACCUCUGCUUCCUGGGUUCAAGUGAUUCCCCUGCCUCAGCCUCCCGAGUAGCAGGGAUUACAGAUGGAGCCUCACUCUGUCACCCAGGCUGGAGUGCAGUGGCACAAUCUCGGGUCACUGCAACCUCCGCCCCCCAGGUUCAAGCGAUUCUCCUGUCUCAGCCUCCCGAGUAGCUAGGAUUACAGGUGCAUGCCACCAGGCCUGGAUAAUUUUUAUAUUUUUAGUAGAGUUGGGAUUUUGCCAUGUUGGCCAGGCUGGUCUCAAACUCCUGACCUCAGGUGACCCAUCCACCUCAGCCUCCCAAAGUGCUGGGACUACAGGUGUGAGCCACCAUGCCUGGUCCCCCACUUGUUGAUUUUGCAGAAAAGAUAGCUGUGUUACAACCCGUCCUAAGGUCAGGUAUGAAUACUUGUGCUUCUUUCUUGGCUCCCCAAGCCAGAGGGCAUUCCUAUGCCCUGGUGAGAGAGCACGGAGUAUUACUUUGGCAGCAUAGUCAGUUACCAGAGGUGGGAAAAGCAAAGGCCAAGCAGGACAUGAGGGGCCCUUGCACUGGCUGGUUCUCCCUGCCUUCACCACCCUCCAGGUGAAUGACUAGGUGAGUAAUGAUUGACUGAGGAGGUAAUGAAUAAUUUAUGGACACUGCUGGACCUCAGUCUCCUCAUCUG
rnacentral:antisense_RNA from 1 species